rnacentral:rRNA from 1 species
UACGAAGGGGGCUAGCGUUGCUCGGAAUCACUGGGCGUAAAGCGCACGUAGGCGGACUCUUAAGUCGGUGGUGAAAUCCUGGAGCUCAACUCCAGAACUGCCUUCGAUACUGAGAGUCUCGAGUCCGAGAGAGGUGAGUGGAACUGCGAGUGUAGAGGUGAAAUUCGUAGAUAUUCGCAAGAACACCAGUGGCGAAGGCGGCUCACUGGCUCGGGUACUGACGCUGAGGCGCGAAAAGCGUGGGGAGCAAACAGG